AUGGCUGUCGUCAGCUCGUGUCGUGAGAUGUUGGGUUAAGUCCCGCAACGAGCGCAACCCUCGGCCUUAGUUGCCAUCAUUUAGUUGGGCACUCUAAGGCGACUGCCGGUGAUAAGCCGGAGGAAGGUGGGGAUGACGUCAAGUCCUCAUGGCCCUUACAGGUUGGGCUACACACGUGCUACAAUGGCGGUGACAGAGGGACGCAAAAGGGCAACCUUUCGCAAAUCUCAAAAAACCGUCUCAGUUCGGAUUGGGGUCUGCAACUCGACCCCAUGAAGUUGGAAUCGCUAGUAAUCGCAGAUCAGCACGCUGCGGUGAAUACGUUCCCGGGCCUUGUACACACCGCCCGUCACACCAUGGGAGUUGGCUUUACCUGAAGACGGUGCGCUAACCGCAAGGAAGCAGCCGGCCACGGUAGGGUCAGCGACUGGGGUGAAGUCGUAACAAGGUAGCCGUAGGGGAACCUGCGGCUGGAUCACCUCCUUUCUAAGGAUGAGCCUUCAUGGAUGGGCCCUCACGCCCGCCAUAUCGGCUCGACCUAGACAACGGACCGGUCUUAGGAAUCGGACCGGAUCCUAAAUCAGAGCGGGAUUCCGCCGUCUCCGUUUCUCUUUCUUCAAGGCAAGAGCUCGCGUUCUCAUCGGAGAACGUACGCUUGGCAUCGGGCCUGUAGCUCAGGUGGUUAGAGCGCACGCCUGAUAAGCGUGAGGUCGGUAGUUCGAGUCUACCCAGGCCCACCACCUAAGGCGCGUAGCGUUCGCAACCGGGGCCAUAGCUCAGUUGGGAGAGCGCCUGCUUUGCAAGCAGGAGGUCGUCGGUUCGAUCCCGUCUGGCUCCACCAGCCUUCGCCGCUCCGCGGCUUCGGCUUGGCGAGCCAAGUUGCUGCGAAGGCUGUCACGCCGAAGCGCAGCGAAGGCGGAUCGCGCAUCAACAACGCGCACCACACUCGUCCAUGCAUCGAAUUUGUAUCGCGUCGAUCCUCGAUCACGCGGUGCAGGUUGUCUGACAUCGUGAAGAGGAGAUCGAUCCGCAGUUGUACGCAGUGAUGAGCUGCGUCCGACACCCAUAUCCUAUAGGCGCGCUCGACCGCACGCCUCGCGGGUCGAUCUCGAAGCAAGCUGGUCUUUCUGUCAUUGCUCACACCGAACGGGCUUCCUCUUUCGCAAGAGAGAGGGUGUUCAUUCGGAAUCACCGCCGAGGUGAGUGGGCAUUGAUGAUGAGAGCGAUCAAGUGCCUUAAGGGCAUUCGGUGGAUGCCUUGGCGCUGAGAGGCUAUGAAGGACGUGCUACGCUGCGAUAAGUCACGGGGAGCUGCGAAGAAGCUUUGAUCCGUGAAUUUCCGAAUGGGGAAACCCGG
rnacentral:sRNA from 1 species